GUGGGGUUGUAGGGGCGCAAGGAGGCGGGAGGGUGGAGGCGAGGGCCGGGGGUGGGGCGCCUCCGCCCGCCAGCCGCUCCCGCAUUAAAAUUUCAUGGGCGCUGCAGCAGCUACAAAGACGACGCCGGCUGCGCUCGGGGGACCAGAGGGAGGGAGGCUGCGGACGAGUGCGGGGAGGAGUUUGAGAUGGGAGGCGCUUGCAGGGGCUCCCCCAGUUCUGCGCUGUGAGCCGGGGCACAAAGAGCCCUCUGCACUCGCGCCGCAGGACCGCGGACCCGAGUUGGAGGCAUCUGUCCACCCAUGUGGUUCCAGACACGUUCAUGUGGCCACCAUGACCCUGUUUGCAUCACAGGAGUAACCAAGAGAGCAGCAAGUUCCUGGGACAGAGGAGACAGAAGGGAAUUUCCCGGUUCUUCAGGACGUUCACAACCACACUGAGAAGCAUCCUUGCAGAUAAGUAUUUAAACUUACCAGGCCAUAGCCUACCAGCCUGCCCUCUUCUGGUCUGUGCAGGGAAGUGUAGUAUCCUAGAAUCCCAAAGUGGGAGGGGAAAUGGGUGAUGUAGCUCAUUCUCUUUUCUGCGUCUAUGGAAGAAAGAAAGAGCUUGUCCCCAUUUUGUGGGGUCCCAGAAAGGGUGAUUUUCACACUCCACAUUCGGCAUUAGGGCUAGUAUUUUAUAAACGUCACCGUCUGGAACUUUUGAAGGCUGAGUUAAAUAACUUCACCUUGUGUACUUGUAGAACUGCUAUUAGGAGGAAGCUGGGGACUCCCUGGUAAUGUGAACUGGCCCUUUUCAAUUUUGGUGUUUUGUGAUCAUAUUUAUAAACCUUGGCUGGAGCUCCUUGGCCUUGCAGUUAAGUGAAGAGUUAGCAGUGUGACUUUAGAUGCAUUUUUCUCAGUGCAAGUGUCUGAGUUCACCUCCAGUUCUGAACUCAUGCCCCCACUCCCAGGUGCUGACAGAAAGCUUUGAAGAUAUGCUGAGAUGGCUCCCUGACAACCCUGAUUCAGGUCUGUCAGUUGAUGAAGACAGCGUAGUUGUCACCAAAGGCAAAACCUGGCAGAUGGUCCUAGGUCAGGAUUAGUGGUCAUUCUCUGGUCUUCUCCAGACUGGUGACACAGGGUGGUCUUAAAAGAGUCCUACUCCAGCCUCUGGCUCCCCGAAUUUCCUCUGGUGCAUGGAGCAUCAGGAAAGGGCAGGAGAGAAGGAGGGGGAGCGGAAAAAUUACUGCUGGGCAGCAGGGUCCCUUCCAUUUCCCCAUCCAUUGCUUCAAACAAUGGGUGAUUAUUGUGCACCUUGAGUGAAUGUCAAGGCAGGAAGAGUCCCAGGGCCACCCAGUGUGGCAGGAGCAGAGCUGGGAUCAGAAUUCUGGAUUCCUGACUCUCCGUUCAGCUGCAAUUCAGCUGUCACCAAGCUGCUGAGUUUGUCCUACUUUCUCCCGGGUCGCAUUCUGCUGUUGUCGGGAAACAGGGAGUGAGUGAAGGGAACCCGGGAACCCCUCUCCCCUCACCUUUUAAGGAUGUUCUGGGGUGGAAUAAAGGGAGGUGGAGGGUGGGGUGCCUGGAUCCAGCCUCACUGGCUCCUGGUCCUUCUUUCUUCGGCAGGGAGUUUUGGCAAGGCCUGGGCCUGGGGAGGGGGCCUGGGUGCGGUUUUCUCCUGCGGUGUGGUUGGCUCUUUUGUCUUCCAGGAUGGGCCUAUGGGGUCUGUGUGGGGAAGGAAGGAGCUGGGAGCCUGGACUGCCUGUGUGUCUGCUGGAUGCUGCCAGCACCGGAAUGGACCAAGCAACUUCUCCGAGCCAGAUGCUGGGGAUGCAGAGGUGAACCCAGAGACAUGAUCCCAUCUGCUCGGAUCUUCAUGUCAGAACACGCUUUAUUACAGUCUCGGCGAGGGGGUGGCUCCAUCUGGGCCGCAUCUCCAGGACUCCUGGCCUGGCCUUCUCUUUGGACCUCGGGUGACCUUGGACUCUGGCCACAGUAACUUAGCGGGCAGACUCUGGUGGUUUUCUAGCCCCCUGGGUGACUCCCUGAAGAUCUCAUCCUCCUCACCUGUUGGGGUGGGGCCUCCCAUGGAUAGGAGCGCUUCCUGGCUGAUGCUCAGUGGACGACUGGGUCUGGCUCUGGAGGAUGACUCCAGGGCUAUGAGGGAGGCCUGGCAGCCCACUACUCCCUCCUCACCUGCUCGGGCCCUGCCUGCUGGGCCCUAUUGUCUGGGUCUGGGGGCCCUUUCCUGACCCCACGCGAACUUGAUUCCUCCUUGUGUUUCUGCCGGUGACCAGACAGAGCCUGGCCUGGGCCAAGGCCCCACUGACCACACUCUCCCCAAGGCUGGGUCUCAAAGGACCCUACAGGAUGGCGACAGGAACAUGAUGGAAGUCAGGGAGGGGCUGUCAGGGAGAGGGCAGACACAGUUCUUUGGGUGCCGCUGGCUGGAGUCCUUUGUCUCCGUUUGCUCUGUGCGUAUUUGUCAUUUUGUGGGGCUUCCUUGGUGGGGCUUUUCCAUGCUUUUCCUCUCCCUGAUGGUUACAAAGAGGAGACAGUCAGGAUCUGGGAGGAGCUGGAGCCUUCCCCCUGUGCUGUUGAACUCUGGGAGGGGCAGCUAGAGGGACUGAGUGUGCACCGUUCUGAAAAGAGAAGGUCUUUAAGAGAUAAGAUCUAGGCCAGGGAAAUUCACUAGAAAGAGACAGGCGGCCCUGGGUUUUUUUCCUGCCAUCCAAAGGGAACCAAUCUUACCCAAAGGAUUGAGGGGUCACCUUAGCCCAAUCUCAGGACACUCUCCUCCAAUCAGAUCCCUGCUUCCAGCUGCACUGCUCCUGGAUUGUGUUCUUGGGGAGCAGAAGGUGGCAGGACAGGCCCCACAGUCCACAAUUCCAGCUGCCUCCAUAGGGGACAGUCCCAGUGUCUGCAAGAGAGCAGCUUGUGGCCUCCCUUAGGCAAGUUUAAAAGCCAGAUGUCCUUUUUCCCAGAAAGGGGAGUGGUGUGUACUAUUCAUCGGCUUGGGCUGCCACAGACUGGAUGGCUUAAACAUCAGGAAUUUUUCUCCCAGUUCUGGAGGCUGGAAAGUCCAUAUCAAGGUGUUAGAGUUGGUUUCUGGUGAGGUCUCUCUCCUUGGCUUGCAGGUGGCACCUUCUUGCUAUGUCCUCACAUGGCCUUUUCUCUGUGGAGAGGGACAGAGAGCACGAGCAAGCUCCAGUGUCUCCUCCUCUUCUUAUAAAGACAUUAAUACCAUCAAAUUAGAGCUCAACCCUAGGGACUCAUUUAACCUUAACCCCUUAAAAGUCCCAUCUCCAAAAACAGUCACAUUGUAGGCUAAUGCUUCAACAUAUGCAUUUGGGGGAGGGGACUCCGUUCAGUCCUUAGCAGGGCGGUCACCGCAAACAUGGAAAGUCAGAGCCAUCUCCCCUUCAGAAUUCCCGCCCCUCACCCCAGGGACGGGGAAGAGGAACAGAGGUAUGGGAAGCAGACACUGAGAGUGGCAGGUACCAUGCUGGGGUGGCUCGGAGCGCUUCGGAGGACAUAUGGAACUGGCUGGGCUCAGUG